GUUGACGGAUCAUUGCCAAAACCCCAUGAAAAUGACAACUCUAUUAUACUUGGAUGUGACUAGUGUAGCGACAUCAACAUGCAUAUAUAUAUAUAUAUAUAUAUAUGGUAGUCUCUUAUGGUGUGUGAAAUGCUAAGAAAUUUGCACUCAAGCAAUUCUGUUGUUCCACAAAUUAGUUCAAAUUUGAUGAGGCAAGCCAGAUCUGGUCAGAUUUGAAAAAUCGCUCAAUUAGUUGAAGCUCAUUUGGAUGUGGCAUUUGCACACCAACUUCAUGAUCUAUGUCAACGUAGGGAUGUUGGUGGCUGAGAUGAGCGGCGGCGACUCUUUCCAGCUGCUUGGUAUGGCGGAGAGGGGAGUUGUUUGCUAGGGGCGCCUGUGGUGCGCAUCCUCUUCUCGGCUUCUGGGGUGGUUCUGCUUUCUUGGUUGAGCUCCCAGGAGAUCGUGGCUGCGGAGAAUUUCUUGUAUUGCUUUGGGAUGAUACUAGAGUUUAUAUAGCGUUUGUGAGUGGGCCCCGAGUGCACCCCGGCCUUACAAGAUUCCGGUGGGGACGUGGGGCAUGUGCGUCCCUCCGACCGCCCUCAAGGUUAUGGGUUGCGGUUGCGUUGGGGCUGAUUUUGCAGCCGCGUAUCAAGCAUAGUUGGAAUUUCGUACACAACUUUAUACUAUUUAUGUUGGAAAUUCUAUAGCUCCAACAAUGAAUUGCCAAAUUCAUGUUACCAAAAUGUAUUAAGUUGUUAGGAUAACCUAAAUUGCUUUCAUAAUGGGAUUGAAAAUUUCAACAA